rnacentral:rRNA from 1 species
UACGAAGGGGGCUAGCGUUGCUCGGAAUCACUGGGCGUAAAGCGCACGUAGGCGGGUCGCUGAGUCGGGGGUGAAAUCCUGGAGCUUAACUCCAGAACUGCCUUCGAUACUGGCGAUCUUCGAGUCCGGGAGAGGUGGGUGGAACUGCGAGUGUAGAGGUGAAAUUCGUAGAUAUUCGCAAGAACACCAGUGGCGAAGGCGGCUCACUGGCCCGGUACUGACGCUGAGGUGCGAAAGCCAGGGGAGCGAACGGG